rnacentral:ribozyme from 11 species
CUGAAAGAAAGAAACAAAGGCGAGAGAGAGAGAAGAAAAAAAACAUGCAUCCCUCGCUCUCCUGCAGGUUCCUUUUUCGUCUAGUUGCUUCCCUCCUUCCUUCCUUCCUUCAUUCCCUGCGUCCCUUCUUGAACAAAGAAGACGGGGCAGAAG